GAACUCUGGGUGUGUCAGAGCUCCUGGAAAUCUAACUGCCUCUGGAAUCCUGAAAUCCAGGUAUGACCAAGCUCCAGGAAUCCUAUUGAGUGAGCGCUCCUGGGAGUCAAACUUUCUCAUGGUAUUUCAGGAGUGAGAAGGGAGCCAGAGCCUUGGCUUUGCACCAAACACAGGUGCAAGGUAGAAGGAACCUGUGCCUCUGGCAGGUGGGGUUAGGGUUUCCCUGGUUCCUGUGGAUGUUUCAGUGAUGCUAGGUUUUUGGAAAGAUGUUGUGACCUCAGUUUUUAUCUUGAGAGUAUCAGAGGUCCAGUGCUUCUGGUUGUAUCUGAUCUUCUGGGAGUUCAGCUUUAUCUGUGAUCCUGUGAUCCUGUGAUCCUGGAUUUCAAAGCACCUCUGACCCUGAGCUUGUUAGAGCGCCUGGGAGUUGGGCUUCCUCUGGGUGUUGUUGAACUGGGUGUGGAGCCAGAGCCAAGGUCUGCUCAGGGCACUGACUCAAACUGGAAGGGACCCAUGCCACUGGGGAACCCAGUUAUUCUGGGUGUCAGGGCAGAUGUUAUGUCCUACUCACCUCUGGUCCUGGGCAUGUUAGAGCUCCUAGAAAUUGGAUUUCCUCUGGGUGUUGUGGGACUGUGUUCAAAGACAGUGCCCAAGGUUUGCUCAGGACAAUGGUUCAGGCUGGGAGGGCUUUUUCUUCUUCUUCUUCUUUUUUUUUUGCAUUCCAACAAAGUUCUUUAUUCCAAGCUUCAAAGUAAAUGUCUAGAAAAUAGACACAUUACACUGAAGUAAAAAUUUUAAUUUGUGAUAAUUUUAAAAAAUUUUUUAUUAGAUAUAUAAACUUUACUUACAUUUCAACCGUUAUUCUGCUUGCUUCCCGGUUUCCUAUCCAUGAACCUCCAUUCCCUCCCCUCCCCCUCCUCCAUACAGGUUUAAAAUUCCUUUUGUUUAUAGUUUCCCCUCUUGUGGUUUGAAUAGGUAUGGUGUCCAUAGAUUCAUGCAUUUGAAUGUUUAGUCCAUAGAAAAUGGCAACAUUAGGAAGGUUGGCCUCCUUGGAGUAGGCUUAGCUUUGUUAGAUGAAGUAUGUCACAGUUGGGGAGGAUUAUGAGGUCUCCUAUACCUAAGCUUUGGUCAGUGGCAUAGUCUUUCUCUUUGCUGCCUGGAGAUCAAGAUGUAGAACUCUCAGCCUCAUCUCUACUACCACAUAGGUCUGUAUGCUGCUGUGAUUUCUGCCAUGCUGAUAAAGGACUAAACCUCUGUAAGCCAGCCCCAAUUAAUUGCUGUCCUUUAUAAUAGAUGUCUCAGUUAUGAUGUCACUUCACAGCAAUAAAACCUUAAGUAAGUUGCCUCCCCCAAAUUAUGCCAGAUCCUUCCCACAUACUUUCCCAUACAGCUUCAUGUUCUUCCUCUCUUUUUAGAAAACAAAUGACCCUAGAAGUAAACAAAACAGAUAAAUAAUAAAAAGCAAUGCAAAGAAACAUGCAAACACACACAUACAUACCCACAGGCACAUAUGUAUACACAUGCACUCCUGCAAGCAGACAUCCAUAUGAACAUAAAUUCUGAAAGCCUAAUAUACAAUCAAAAGGUGUACAAAAACACCACUGAGUUUGUUUUGUGUUGGAUACAUAUUUCUUUCUGAAUAUGAGACCUAUUCUUAAAUAUCAUUAAUAUGCGUAGUAGACAGCAUUGAAAGAACUGUUUUUUCCUUUCCAAGUUGAUGUCAGUUGGAGAUAAAUUCUUGGUGACAGAUGAGAGCUCGUGUGUACUUCCCCUUUUUAUGCUUGAAGAUACUGUCUUUCUGAAACCUCUACAGACCCUGGGCAUGAGACCACAGCCUGUAUGGUUUCAUAUUAUAUCCAUCAGUUUGGUUGUAUCUAAAAGACACUGUUUCCUUGAACUCCAUCCUUUGAGUUCUCAUAGUCUCUCUUCCUGGACUGCCACAUACUCUGAACCCUGGGGAAGAGUUUCAAGGAAAAAUCCAUUUAGGACUGAGCACUUUUAAGUCUCAAGUUCUUUGCACAUUGUCAAAUUAUAGGUUACUGUAUUAGUUCUAGUGCAAGAUGUUCCUGAUGACGACUGAGAGAUUCUGAUUUAUAGUUAUAGCAGAAUGUCACUAGGUGCCAUCUUGGUGCUGGGUUCCUUUAGCAAAAUAAUAAUAUUUAAUUUUCCUUGGAUUUCUUGUCUUGAUUUAUGAGCUCAGAUAAGGACUGGACUAAGACUCCAUUAUUGUUUGCAGAGUACAGACUUUGAAAAAAAGAGAUAGUAUCCAGAAAUAUGCACUGUUUUUUCCUGUAUGCAAAAAAUAUGAUUCCUAAUAUAAACAAUUUGUCAAACCACUGUUUUCAACACAUACCUAGCAGCACCCCACUCUCCCCAACAAAAUGCACUACUACAAGAUUAUGCUGCAACUUCUGUUGUGAAGGAAAAAAUAUCUUCCCUUAAAACCCUAGUAACUCAUUCAUUUGAGAAAUGCAAGGGAGACAACCUAUUCCUUAGACAUUCUGAUGAAAGUUGAUUACUUCAUUGCAUUUAUUUUACUAGCUGGUAUCUCUUUCUUAUUUAUGAGAAAAGGUGUCUCAGAGAUACUUGCGGUAAGAAACAUGCAGUGGGAUGAAAGAUAAUAGUAAUGUCUUUUUUAAUGUUACUCUGUAUUUUGCAGUUGUGUUUUAUAGUUGUUUGCUCUAUAGUAAAAUUUUAUAUUUUUAUUUCUUUCUCCCUAAAUUCUGCACACAUAUACACAAAUUUAUAUAUUCAAUUUUUAUAUUACAAUUUAAAAAGAAAUCUGCUUUUAAAUUUAACUGGGACUGAAUUUAAUGAACCAACACUUGGAAUACAUAUUGUAGAAUUAUAAACCUCUGCAUGUAUUACCAUUCCUCAGUGUGUUAUUUUUGUGGACAGUUUAUUUCAGCAUUGCAUUGAAAUAUUUCUUUUUGUAUUUCUGCUUUACUACAUGAUCAAUGAUUUCUACUCUAUAAUAAUUUAGAUUUUUGCUGUGCCUUAAACGUAUUGGUUUCUAUGAUAGCCACAACUAAUAUUUGAUAUUAUAUUCAAUCCAUCUCCUAUUUAGAAAACAAAAAUGUAGAAGUGCUAUCACAUUGAUCAGCGAUCUUAGUAUGUUCUGAGUCUCUAACUGAGACUUUAACUUCUAAAUUAGUGUUGUCCUACACAGCAGUGAUCUUGAGAAAGUGUAGAACAAUGAGAUACUUUUCCCUAUUGUUUAUUUAUGGCAACUAGAUUUAAAAAUGUUACCAUCUGGCUCUUCUGGGCCCUAAGAACUAUGACUGUGAUAAAAAUUUUUACCCAUGAUGGUGAUGAAGAACAAAAGAAACGCGAAAGCAGAUGUAGUUAUUUCCUUAAGUUUUCUGAUAUUCUUUUUAUUUUCAGUAUAAAAUGUGAUUUCCUUACAGAAAACUUUAGACUUUAACAUGUAGCUAUGUUCCAUUCACAUUUCUUCUUUCAAGUAUAUUACAUACACAGGAUCCAUACUCACCUUAAUAAGUUCAUUAUCUAGUUUUCCUGCAUUUUUCAUGCAUCCUUCACAAUACUGUUCAGAGUAACACAGGUAAUUAGAUAAGUAGAGACUGUACAGUCUGUGAAUCAAAAUUAUAAGAAGAUCUAACUUUUUUUUGCAACAUGUGUUUUCAGAUUGCUGAGGAAAUUUGACCUGAUGAUAAAUCUUUCAUACUGAGCAGACUUUAAUCGUAAAUUAUGGACUAAAUUUCAAACUACUUAUUCUCUUAUGACCUGUCUUUGAUCUUGGAUUUGUGUCUCAAACUAUAAAUUUACAAGAGGAAAUGCUAGUCUUUAACAGAAUCUACCUUUAUGGUGCUAUAUUUAGGCCAUUAACUUAUUAAAUGAGGAUUUUGUAGCCCUAGAAAAGCACUUCAAAAAAUUUUAGUGAAGUAUUAUACAAAUUGUGGAUAUAUUCAUACAAUGUUUGCAAAUAAGUUUCAAGAAAUAAAAGCUAUUUAUUAAUUUAAGUAACAAAAUUAAAUAUAAGUUAAAUGACUUGUUUCUGUAUUAGUGUAAUUUCUGACAUAUAUUAGUGUUUUCUUCUUUAAAACAUAGGACACAUACUGGUCCACAGCUACCAUAAAAGGAAAGUGAGUGCCCUAGUGGAACAUGAUGGUAUUACAUUUUUAAUGAAAAUAUUUCCAGUUAUUUUUUAUUUUAUCAGUUUCCACAAUUGUCUUCUCUUUAAUUAUAAAUUAGAGUAAGACAUUUACUUUUCUCAUGCUUCUAACUGAUUCAUUGUCCAACAUCAAAAGGAAGAAAAUCCCUUGGCCCUGUGAAGGUUUGUUUCCCCAGUGUAGGGUAAUGCCAGAGCGUUGAGUUUGGAGUGGGUGGGUGGUAGUAGGAGCAUCCUCAUAGAAGCACAGAUAGGGGGAAGGUGGUAUGGGAUAGUAGGGGAAAAUGAUAACAUUUGAAAUGUAAAUACAUAAACGAUCCAAGAAAAUUAAAAAUUUUAAAAAAUUCGCAAAUAAUUACUUUGUUUCCCAAAAGGCUUUAAUUUGUAAACAACAUUCAUAGCAGUCUUUAUUCCUUUUUGAGAGUGAGUUUCUAAGUCACACUGAUGCAUAUGUCUAUAUAUAGAUUAAAAUAUCCAUAUAUUUAUGUAAUCAUGUGCAAUAUAUAAGGAAUAAGAAAGCUUUUAGGAAAAAAUAUUUUCUGGAAAUAUAAAGAAUUCUAUUUUAAUGGCCAGAUAAUUUUUGCCUUUUAUAAUAAAAAUAGUGAAAAUAGACUUUUAUGUCAUUUCAAAAUACCUCAACAAUGGAAAUGGCUCAGUGUGCAAACACCAAGCCUGGUUACCUGAGUCUUUCCUUCAUUAUUAAUGUCAACUUCUCAAUGUAUAAUUUACCCAUUAAUGUAUGGCCAUUAAAUACAAAACAUCACAGUCUGUCAAUCACACAGACUUUUAUUAUUGGUACAAUAGUAGUACAAGAGAUAUGGUGUAGUCAACUACUUCUUGUUUGAAUUUAGACCCAUUCGAUGAGAUGAAAUACAUAUAUCACAUUGCUAAAAUGGAUAAGACCUGAGACUACAUAGGUUGUGUGUUUAGGAGAACCCUAAUGCUAUAAUUGUGCUAAAGGGAUAUAGCAAUAAAAUGACUCCUAAUGAUAUCUGGCUAUACUUAUAGAUCAGUGGAUUGCUCAACCCAAAUCAUAGAACCUUGUUUUUGUAGAAUAUAGGAACUAAUAGACAUCCAAGGUAGAUAAUGUACAAAGACUGAGCACUCAGUUGUGGUACUCAUCAAGCCCCAUGUCCUUCAAGGCUAAGGGAACUAAGAAGGAGGAGGCAGAAAUAUUUUAUGAACCAGAAGUGAGUGAUGAUUGUAAGCAAAUAAAUGAAAGAACCAAGACACAUAACUCAAAAGACUGUGAAUGAGAAAAAGACAUGCACAGAUUCUAGCCAUACUGGGUCUCUGCACUUAAAGAAUUUAGACACGGGGGCUAAUUAUUACCAUGAAGCUUUUUGUGAUUGAUAGCUGCUGAGAAGGUGAAUGUCCAUUUUCUCCAAUGGAGUGUCACUGAGUAUAUCGAUCCUACUCCCAGACGUGACCUGUGCACAUGAGUAUGCCAACACAAAUAAAUUUCAUAUUUAUUUGGUUUGCUUUGGUUUUGUGUCUAGAUAUGUGUGAACUUAUUGUUUCUCUGUUUGCUUGUAAUGUCUUUGUCUGAUCUGGUUUAUUUUGUUUUGUUUUUUGCUGUAUAUUCAGAUUUUCAUUUCUUUGUUGUUUAUUUUGCUACUUAUUUUUGGAAAGAAGAGAGGAAGAACCUGAAGUUGAGUGGUUAGGGAGGUGCAGAGAUGUGAAGAUUUAGGAAAGGAGAAGUUAAUGAGAUCAAAAUAUAUUGUAAUGAAAAUAUUUUAGAUAAAAGUUUAAAAAGCUUCACUAUCUCAGUGUCAGCAUAUACACUUAUCAUCACUUUGAAGUGGAGACGUCUGGUUUCUUUGGAGAUUCAGCUGUGUAAUGUGAUGCUUUGCUGGAAUCUGUCUUAUGAGAGGACAUUUUGCUGAGGCAGGCACAUGAGAUGAUGUUCCAUGAUGUUUGGAAAGAAUAUAAGCAUAACCCAACAGAGCAUGAACAAUGCUUGUAGAUUGGUAUGUCUUGCAACCCUUUGUUGCUCUUUGCUUGCCAUGACUUCAUAGAUAGAAAAGCACCAAAGAACUCAUAAGAUUCUGGCUGCUGCUUGAUACUUCUUCAGACUCCUCCCAAUUGGCUGAGCCACAUGGUUUCUUCUGCAUCAACCUACUGCUACUGAUAUGUUUGGUGUUUUGGACUCUACUGCUGAUAUCCUGACAAUGAAGAUUGGAAUUAAACCAAAGGACUACUACCAAAAUGUCCACAACCCCCUUCUCCUAUAAACCUUCUUCUUCCCUAUUUCUGGUCAGUGGUCUAAAACAGAGAUUGAAGUGUUUAAAAACCCUUAUCAAAGUAGGUUUUGAAAAAUCUUAGCAUGCAUCACUGUCUAUACUUGGAAACUCUAAUAUUAUUGGACAUUUUCAUGAAAAUUGUAAAAUUUUUAAAUUAUUUAUUUCUUUUUGGUCUAACUUUUAUUUAUUUAUUUUAAUUACACAAAUUUUAAUAUAUUUAAUAUGUAUAAAUCAUUAUUGCUUCUCUUUGAGAAGUAUCUGAGUAGUUAUUUAUUCAGGAAUAAUAGUAUCCUGCAGAAGAAAGACAUUAGAUAUUUGGGAUCUUUGUGGUGAUGAGGUUAACAGAAUUAUUUUCCAUUAUUCUGUGGUAUAUGGUUCUAACAUCAUGUCUUCUUUUUUCCUCAAACUCCAGAAAUAUCAGUAUGAAAAUACAGUUGGGAAGAUGGGAAGUUAAACUGGCCCUCAGAAAGUACCACAUGCAUAGUAGAAGCUGGAAUUAUUUAAAAUUAAUUCAAGGACAUUAGAGUCUUUAUACCACCAAAUCAGAUCACAUGAAGCUCAUGAAGAAGGAAGACCAAAGUGUGGAUGCUUCAGUCCUUCCUAGAAGGGGGAAGAAAAUACUCACAGGAGGAAAUACAGAGACAAAGUGUGGAGCAGAGACUGAAACGAGGGCCAUCCAGCGACUGCCACACCAAACCAAGACUUUAUUGCAAAUGCCAAGAAGUGCAUGCUGACAGGAGCCUGUUAUAGCUGUCUCAUGCAAGGCUCUACCAGAGCCUGACAAAUUCAGAGGCAGAUGCUUGCAGUCAACCACUGGACUGAGAAUGGGGUCUCCAAUGAAGGAGUUAGAGAAAGGACUGAAGGAGCUGAGGGUUUGCAACCCCAUAGAAAGAACAUUAAUCAUCCAGAGCCCCAGUGCUCCCAGGGAUUAAACUACCAUCCAAAGAGUACACAUGAUGGAACCAUGGCUCCAGCUGCAUAUGCAUCAGAGGAUGGCUUGUCAGGCAUCAGUGGGAGGAGAGGCCCUUGGUUCUGUGAUGGUUUGAUGCCCCAGUAUAGUGGAAUGCCACAGUAGGGAGAUGGGAAGGAGUGGAUGGGCAGGUGGGGAAACUCGCAAAGAAGGAGGGAAAAGCAGCUUUCUAGAGGGGAAGUUGGGAAAGGGGCUAACAUUUAAAACGUAGAGAAAAUAUCCAAUAAAAGACAAGAAAAAGAAUUCUCAAGAAA